UACGGAGGAUCCAAGCGUUACCCGGAAUCAUAGGGUUUAAAGGGUCCGUAGGCGGGUUGAUCAGUCAGUGGUGAAAGUCUGCAGCUUAACAGUAGAAUUGCCAUUGAUACUGUUGACAGUGAGUAAUUAUGAAGUGGUUAGAAUAUGUAGUGUAGCGGUGAAAUGCAUAGAUAUCGUAAAGAACACCUAUAGCGAAGGCAGCUUGCUAAACUAUAACUGACGCUGAGGCACGAAAGCAUGGGUAGCGAACAGG
rnacentral:misc_RNA from 1 species